ACCGGAGUAGCUCAGCUGGUUAGAGCGUCGGAAUCAUAAUCCGUAGGUCGGGGGUUCAAGUCCCUCCUCCGGUAC
rnacentral:tRNA from 1 species